UACGUAGGGCGCGAGCGUUGUCCGGAUUUAUUGGGCGUAAAGAGCUCGUAGGCGGCUUGUCGCGUCGACUGUGAAAACUCGGGGCUCAACUCCGAGCUUGCAGUCGAUACGGGCAGGCUAGAGUUCGGUAGGGGAGACUGGAAUUCCUGGUGUAGCGGUGAAAUGCGCAGAUAUCAGGAGGAAUACCGGUGGCGAAAGCGACUCUCUGGACGGCAACUGACGCUGAGGCACGAAAGCGUGGGGAGCAAACAGG
rnacentral:rRNA from 1 species